UCCUUGCGCGGAGGAAGGAGAGCAGGGUCGGGGUCAGCAUCAGUUACCCUCGCAAUCCCCCCCGUAAACGGUGUGUGUUAGCCGUGGGAAAUCCCUUUCACCCAGCAGCUAAAGCCACCCACACACCGCCCGGGGAGUCGGGUCGCGAGGUUAAAACUAAAUUGAAGGGACGCGACCGGCCCAAGUAGUCGAGCAAGUGGUUUAAUUCGAAGAGACGCGCAGAACGUUACCAACACCUGACAUGUUUGUCGCGAAUUUAAGAGAUUAAAGUCUUCGGUUCGGCCGGACGAAACACAGGUGGUGCAUGGCUGUCGUCAGCUCGCGUCGUAAGAAAUGGGUUAAGUCCCGCAACGAGCGCAACCCUCACUUUUAUUUGCCAUCAUUUAGUCGGGCACUCUGAAAGAACUGCCAGUGAUAAGCCAAGGAAGGUGGGGAUGACGUCAAGUCCUCAUGGCCCUUACGUGUUGGGCUACACACGUGCUACAAUGGUAUGUACAACAGGAAGCAAAACGGCGACGUUAAGCAAAUCCUUAAAAGAUACCUCAGUUCGGAUUGCACUUUGCAACUCGAGUGCAUGAAGCUGGAAUUACUAGUAAUCCAAAUCAGAAUGUUGCGGUGAAUACGCUCCCGGGCCUUGUACACUCCGCCC
rnacentral:rRNA from 1 species